GCCGACUUAGCUCAGCUGGCAGAGCAACGCACUCGUAACGCGUAGGUCGCAGGUUCGACCCCUGCAGUCGGCA
rnacentral:tRNA from 4 species